AGGAGGCUGGUGACUCGGGUCCCCCGCACACGCGUGGUGGGACUUCUCGCAUCCUCGGGCAACGGCUCCUCGGGGCUUUGGGACCCCACCCGUGUGUGUGGCCCAGUCCCUUCCAAAGGGUCUCGUGUUGCUUGAGACUUACAAGUGCUACCUUUGGAUUUAGACACAUCUGAGCUCAAACAGCAUCCCGCACGUGACUGGACACCGUCCCCGACCCUCCGAGCCUCUGUAAGGCGGGCCCCGGACUGAAGGUUACUGGGAGGUUUGCAUGGUGGACACUGGCUGUUUGCGACCACCCAGUACCUCCUGCUGCUUCUUCCGGUAACAGCAACAGAACACUGUGCGCUGGGGACCCACUCGCUCUUACCCUGGGCCCUGUGGUCCCAGUGGGGCUUGGCCCUAGUUCCAGGGUGACCAGUCAGCCCAGAUGGCUCCCC